rnacentral:rRNA from 1 species
GACGAACGCUGGCGGCGUGCUUAACACAUGCAAGUCGAACGGAAAGGCCCUGCUUUUGUGGGGUGCUCGAGUGGCGAACGGGUGAGUAACACGUGAGUAACCUGCCCUUGACUUUGGGAUAACUUCAGGAAACUGGGGCUAAUACCGGAUAGGAGCUCCUGCUGCAUGGUGGGGGUUGGAAAGUUUCGGCGGUUGGGGAUGGACUCGCGGCUUAUCAGCUUGUUGGUGGGGUAGUGGCUUACCAAGGCUUUGACGGGUAGCCGGCCUGAGAGGGUGACCGGCCACAUUGGGACUGAGAUACGGCCCAGACUCCUACGGGAGGCAGCAGUGGGGAAUAUUGCACAAUGGGCGGAAGCCUGAUGCAGCAAUGCCGCGUGCGGGAUGACGGCCUUCGGGUUGUAAACCGCUUUCGCAUGUGACGAAGCGUGAGUGACGGUAAUGGGUAAAGAAGCACCGGCUAACUACGUG